AGUGAACGCUGGCGGUAGGCCUAACGCAUGCAAGUCGAACGGCAGCACAGUAAGAGCUUGCUCUUACGGGUGGCGAGUGGCGGACGGGUGAGGAAUACAUCGGAAUCUACUUUUUCGUGGGGGAUAACGUAGGGAAACUUACGCUAAUACCGCAUACGACCUACGGGUGAAAGCAGGGGAUCUUCGGACCUUGCGCGAUUGAAUGAGCCGAUGUCGGAUUAGCUAGUUGGCGGGGUAAAGGCCCACCAAGGCGACGGUCCGUAGCUGGUCUGAGAGGAUGAUCAGCCACACUGGAACUGAGACACGGUCCAGACUCCUACGGGAGGCAGCAGUGGGGAAUAUUGGACAAUGGGCGCAAGCCUGAUCCAGCCAUACCGCGUGGGUGAAGAAGGCCUUCGGGUUGUAAAGCCCUUUUGUUGGGAAAGAAAAGCAGCAGGUUAAUACCCCGCUGUUCUGACGGUACCCAAAGAAUAAGCACCGGCUAACUUCGUG
rnacentral:rRNA from 1 species